CAAGACCCUCCGAUUAAGUCAACUUAAACACAUCCUACAGUCUAUAUUACGCUAAUGAUGUAUCAACCAGAUCGACGUCUCAGAUGAAAAGUUCUGCCCAGCAGACGUCGUGGUCUGCCAAUCCUCUUCACGCUUCGUGUCCCCCGCCCGCAACUCGCGGAUAGAUUCCGCCCGUCUCCAUCGUUCCCCACCCCUCCCUCCUGGCCUCCUCUCUCCUCCUCGCCGCCGCUACAGGAGGCCGCCGGGCGAAGCUCGACCUGCGUCGGCGGCGCCGGGUUCGCUCUCCCUCGAGCGGCGUCAGCGACGCGGGAUGCGGCAGGCUCGGCCUGCGUCGGCGGCGCCGGUGUCCCUCUCCUCCGUCGAGCGGUGGCGGCGUGAGGCGCAUCAGGAUCGACCUGCGUCGGCGGCGGCGGCGGCGGGAUCACUCUCCUCCGUCGAGUAGCGGCGGCAGUGCGGGACGCAGCGGGCGGCGCAUCGCGGUAAACUAGCUCCUUCCCGUACAACCACUCCGUCCCCGUGCUCUAUUCUGCCCGACCCGACUAGGAUUCUGCCCGUCCCCGUGCUCUAUCCGCGCCUCACAUCCCCCAGCCUCCUCUCCAUGUGGCCCUGCGAUGCUGCCGCCUCGCUGUCCCCAUCGCUCCCCGUGCCGGUUGCAGCCUCCCCAACCCUCCUCUCCAUUCACCAGCUUCGCACGGUCUCCACGGCUGCUACAACAAUGUUCAUAUCCUAGAUUGACGCCGCAUGGGUAGCAGCUGGACUCGUCAUCAACCAGAACCAGGUGAUUAUGUGGAGCUUGUGAAGGAAAAAGGCAAACCAACAAGCUUGGGCAAUCGUCUAUUGGCGACAACCUGGUAUAGAUGACCUACCUAUUGUUAAUUUUCCAACUCUCACUUUGUAGGUCUGCAAUUGUAUCUCCUGUACUAAACAAGAGAGCAUUUAAAUUUGACGCCUACAAAUUUGUGGCUUGCUGCAUAGGGGUUUUCCAUAUCUACAUUCUAAUAUUCUCCAUAUUUUUUUAUUAACGUUCAUAUCAAAUGUUUGUGGUAUGUAGGUUCAAUAGUUGACAAAACUGAAUCUCUCUUACCAGCUAUGACUUCAUGGUCAAUAUAUAUACAUGUGCAACAUCCAAAAAGAGAGAUGUCAUCAAACUUCUCAUUAACUUUUUCCGGUUCUACUUUCUCCUUUACUGUUGAAAGCAUAUGGAGUGCUAUCAAUCAAUAUGAACAACUUCCUGCCGCCUCUCUUCUGCUGGAUUGCUUUUUUUUCUGAAAAUAUUUGGUAACUCAAUAUUUUUCUCUUAAUUCAUGAGAUUAUAUAGUGCCAAGAUUUUACUGGUUUCAUCUUGCGUGUUUGUGCCAUCAUGAGUUUGUUCUUUCUGCGGGAAAUGGCUAUAUGACUUCAGAUCUUGAUAAUUAAUUUCGGAACUUCGAAAAUUCUGGAGAUGAAGAAUGUGUCAGUAACCUAAAACACAUAUUGAAGUAUCAUUCACCGAGUAGUGCUCAGAUGGUAACUUGGUGAGUUAUACUGCAUAUCAGUGCAAUCACAUUUCUGUACUUUCCCUCCAAUAUGGAGGUACGUACAAGGCUGUAAAUAUUAGUAGCACAUCUUCUCACAUAAGUUACCAAAGUCAUGUCCUUCUAUUUUUACCCUUCUCAUGCUCAUAGAGCUUGGAAAAGGGUUGCUAGCUUUGGUAGCUUGAUUUUGGUCCGGGGGUACAGAUUUACCGUGGGAACGAGGAACAACAAUGCUACGUAAAUUAGAAAACAUGUAUUCUUCUAUGAACUAUAUAAUAAUUCUGAGCCUGUAUGCAUAUCAGUUUUGAGAUUCCAGUUUCUACUAUCGUGGAUGCUACCAGUUACAGUUGACAAGAAUUUAUUAUACCUUUUUAGGAUGUAAAUUCGAAACCCGUAAUUUGCAUUCCUGAUCUUUUUUAUUAUUCUUGUUGUGAUGAACAUUUUAAGGGUGUCAGUGUUGAUAUGUGCCAUAAAACUCGCAGGUUUCUUUUAAGCUCUUUCAUUAAUGAUGUUUGCUCCUCCUUUGUACUUCUAAUUAUUAUGGCAGGAAGUCUCACUACUACACAAUUCAUGCCUCUGCCAAAUAUUCUAAUCAUUUGUAUUUUUGAAGUUGUAGAUGAUUAGAUUUUCAGCUAAUUUUCUGUUGUAGCAUACACAUUGUGGCAAGCUAACACUGAAAAAGUAGAAAUUGGACGCCUCAAGUUCCUGAAGUUUUCAUGGCAAAAAAGAGAAAAUACUAGACUUAAUGAGCGCGGACAAUGGAAUUCUUGAUUUUUAUGCGUGCCAUUCAAAAGAUGUGACAUAUUUGUAAGCCUUGGAGCUUGUACAUUGGCAUGAGACCACAUUCAAGACCAGAGUUAGUUUUUUUAGGGAACGAUCAGAGAGUUAGUGAGGAUGAGGGAACCUGCUUUUGUUAGAGUUGUUCAUGGAUGAUGGGAGAUGCGGUUUUGGGCCUCCCAUAUGUUUGUUUGCGCCUGAAUAUGAGUGUACUUCCUUCAAGACGUAAUACAAAAAAUACUUGUUUUUGCAAUGUAAUGUGGAUAUACAUGAUUCUAUUGGGGUGUGCAUACUUAAGGAUAUCAUGAAUGGAAUAUUGUACUUUUUUGCGAUGAAAUGAAACAUUGUACUUGUAUAAUCAAUUUUGUCCACAUGAAUAUAAUUUUAUCUGAUGCUUCAGAUGAUUACAGCUCAUUCAGGCUAUUAGAUUUUUGGAUGCCCAAUCAUUUGUUACAACAAUUAGAUGUUUUCUAUGCAUUGCAAUAUGCAACUAGGAAGGUUUGUAAAUCUUAUCAAAGUAUUUUCUAGAAAUUUACAUGUGAUGUUUUUUGUUGGCUCAUAUGAAUGUAUUUUUUUCUAUUGUGCUAUGGUGCGUUGCACGUGCACACCUACUAGUACUACAAAAUAGCCCUGUCCUACCCCCAAACCACGUUCCCCACCUCUUCCCACUCUCCCCGAUUCCCAGCCGCAGCCAUCCCCUCCGCUGUGCGCCUCCCCCUUCCUCCCAACGACCGGCGCACCUCCCCACGGCUGGGUCCAGGUCGGCUCCCACGCGCCGCCGCUGCCAUCUUCCCCGGUGCGCCACGCCCACUCCCCAGAUUCCUCCGCCGCUGCCUCCCGCCCCUGGACCACGGCCCGGCGCGCUUCCGCCGCCGCCUACCCGGCCCAGACGCGUAUCUGUCGCCGCCCAUCCCUGCCCCGAUGCGCAUCCGCCGCCGCCCAUCCCUGCCCCGAUGCGCCUCCACCACCGCCCACCCCGGCCCCGACGCACCUCCAUCCCCCGUCCCCCGGUCUUCACGCGCCUCCACCUGCCUUCCCUUUGAUGCGUCGCGACGGCGACGGCCACCACCCUCCUCGCCCCCACCACUCCGCGUGGUUCACCUCCACCAACCCAAAAAUCGCCCUGCCUCUCGACACCUGCACGCAGAGACGCUGCCCCCGCUGCCGAACCCCUGCCUCCGCUUGGCUCUGUCCUCUGCAGCACACCACGUCUCCCCCGCCGUCCACCUGCCUUGUUCAUGUCCCCAGGUGACCUUGUGUCCAAACGCGUACUGACCUUCCUCCUCCUCCUGCUUCCUCCUUCCCUCUUGGUUGAUUGAACUCUAUCACAUGGAGCAGUAGAAGCCCUCCACUGAUCCGUCCGGCGCUGUCACCUCUGCCCGAGCUCUUAGUGACGUGCCCGAGGCCAUAAUUUCCAGUCCAGAUCACCUACAGUGUUCUGGGUUUCAGAUAUUUGGUUCACGUCGGACGUCGACGGCGAUACGUGCAGAAAUCUUCUAGUAUCUCUUUUGCCUCCCCUUUUCCCUCUUCCAUUUUGUUGUUUGGAAAUCUCUGGUAGGCCUUUGAUUCAAAAAUACUUCGGCUAUUAUUUGUACGAUAUAUAUGCAUAGGAAUUUUGUUCUCCAUCUUGCUUAUUGGUACAUGUGUGAUGUUUUUCCUGUUAUGAACAUAUUGGUUUGUGCGAAGUUCAUGUACGAUUACCCAAGGAGUUCAACAACCACUCAUGACGAAAGAAGUAUAGGUGAGCAACUCCCAGGUUGUUCAAGUUUGCCGCGUCAGGCUGUGCAAUUUCGCUUGUGUGAACAAAGGGGGAGCAGCUUCUUCUUAACUGUUGAUUCUGCACUUGUAUGGUGCAUUUUGUCUCAGCUUUUAGGUGAAUUCUUUGCUUCUCUUACAUUGUGUUCAACAGGGUACAUAAGAAAAUGGAGCUUUUUUCGAGUUGUUUUUUCUGUAAUACAUGUGAAGACUUCGGUAUGAACAGAUGGAGCUUUUUUCAUAGUGAAAAA